UGAUUCCGUAGCUCAGCUGGGAGAGCGCUACCUUGACAGGGUAGAGGUCGCUGGUUCGAGCCCAGUCGGAAUCA
rnacentral:tRNA from 1 species